rnacentral:rRNA from 1 species
UACAGAGGGGGCGAAGCGUUGUUCGGAAUUACUGGGCGUAAAGGGCGCGUAGGCGGCCCGCUAAGUCGAACGUGAAAUCCCCGGGCUCAACCCGGGAACUGCGUCCGAUACUGGCAGGCUUGAAUCCGGGAGAGGGAUGCGGAAUUCCAAGGUGUAGCGGUGAAAUGACGUAGAUAUCUGGAGGAACACCGGUGGCGAAGGCGGCAUCCUGGACCGGCAUUGGACGCUGGGGCGCGAAAGCCAGGGGAGCAAACGGG